rnacentral:rRNA from 1 species
CCUACGGGUGGCAGCAGUGAGGAAUAUUGGUCAAUGGACGAGAGUCUGAACCAGCCAAGUAGCGUGAAGGAUGACUGCCCUAUGGGUUGUAAACUUCUUUUAUAUGGGAAUAAAAUGUUCCACGUGUGGGAUUUUGUAUGUACCAUAUGAAUAAGGAUCGGCUAACUCCGUGCCAGCAGCAGCGGUAAUACGGAGGAUCCGAGCGUUAUCCGGAUUUAUUGGGUUUAAAGGGAGCGUAGGUGGAUUGUUAAGUCAGUUGUGAAAGUUUGCGGCUCAACCGUAAAAUUGCAGUUGAAACUGGCAGUCUUGAGUACAGUAGAGGUGGGCGGAAUUCGUGGUGUAGCGGUGAAAUGCUUAGAUAUCACGAAGAACUCCGAUCGCGAAGGCAGUUCACUGGACUGCAACUGACACUGAGGCUCGAAAGUGUGGGUAUCAAACAGGAUUAGAUACCCCUGUAGUC